GUUGGCAGGGGGUCUGAAAAGUUUUUGAUGACGAUUUUCUCACUAAAACUGAUAUCACAACCAACAUAUUUGUUUGAUAAGAUUACUAAUCACAUGAACCGUAAUCAUUUUCAUAUUUUUGGCUUCCCUCAUCCUAACUGAUCUGAUUUUAAAGCGAGAACCCCAAACAGACCCAGUAAGGAGUGAGUUUAGACAUUACAUUAAAAAAGAUAUUGUUUCACAUCCAACUUUAGUUAUGUAGAAAAGUUAAAUCAAGUAAUUUUUAUACUGCUCAUCAAUUAAACUUAGUCCAGAACUAUAGUAAAUAAUUUUUCUAAACUUAAAUUAAAGGAAGACCAACAAUGGAGCUGAAAGAUUUUCUUCAGAUUACGCGACAGAAGACCCGCUCUUUUCAAACGGAGUGGGGCACACUAAAAGUCUGGCUGUGUGGACGUCCAGCAAGAAACCCCUUUUCUGCUUUUCCUGCCUUCUUUUCUCAGCUUGUGACAAUGUCUGGACUCAGAUGGGAUAUUGUGACUGGAAGAAUUUACCAAGACGUCUCAUCACAGACUAGCAGUCGACCACUCACAUUCAAAGACAGAAAAUGCUGAAAACAUACAGUCAGAACAGGACUGAUCAAGGAUGACUUUCUUCCUUGACAGUGAUCUCCACUGAGACAGAGAGACUUUAAAACUGAAGGAAGCUAAAGAAGACUUCUACAAACAAGUCAUCAAGGCUUUUGUUCAGAAGGAGCAGUACAUGGACUUCAUUUACAAGUAAAGAGAUGAUUCAUCACUGAAUAUGACUUUCAUCCAGUCAUCCACA